GAUGAACGCUGGCGGCGUGCCUAAUACAUGCAAGUCGAACGAAACUUCUUUAUCACCGAGUGCUUGCACUCACCGAUAAAGAGUUGAGUGGCGAACGGGUGAGUAACACGUGGGCAACCUGCCCAAAAGAGGGGGAUAACACUUGGAAACAGGUGCUAAUACCGCAUAACCAUAGUUACCGCAUGGUAACUAUGUAAAAGGUGGCUAUACUACCGCUUUUGGAUGGGCCCGCGGCGCAUUAGCUAGUUGGUAGGGUAAAGGCUUACCAAGGCAAUGAUGCGUAGCCGAAUUGAGAGGUUGAUCGGCCACAUUGGGACUGAGACACGGACCAAACUCCUACGGGAGGCAGCAGUAGGGAAUCUUCCACAAUGGGCGAAAGCCUGAUGGAGCAACGCCGCGUGGGUGAAGAAGGUCUUCGGAUCGUAAAACCCUGUUGUUAGAGAAGAAAGUGCGUGAGAGUAACUGUUCACGUUUCGACGGUAUCUAACCAGAAAGCCACGGCAAACUACGU
rnacentral:rRNA from 1 species